UACGAAGGGGGCAAGCGUUGUUCGGAAUUACUGGGCGUAAAGGCGCGUAGGCGGCCGAUCAAGUCAGGCGUGAAAUUCCCGGGCUCAACCUGGGGGCUGCGCUUGAUACUGAUUGGCUUGAAUGCGGGAGAGGAUAGUGGAAUUCCCAGUGUAGAGGUGAAAUUCGUAGAUAUUGGGAAGAACACCAGUGGCGAAGGCGGCUAUCUGGCCCGUUAUUGACGCUGAGGCGGCGAAAGCGUGGGGAGCAAACAGG
rnacentral:rRNA from 1 species